rnacentral:tRNA from 1 species
AAGUAAGAAACAAAUAAUUGUAUUUAGUUUCGACCUAAAAUUUUGUCUUUUAAAGUCCUUACUUU